CCAGCCGUAAACAGAUUGCCACACUACCCACAAUCCGCCAGAGAACUACAAGUGAAAAACUUAAAACUCCAAGGACUUGACGGUGUCCUACUCAUACUAGAGGAGCCUGUCCUAUAAUCGAUACCCCACGUUCUACCUUACCCCUCCUUGCCACCCAGCCUAUAUACCGCCGUCGUCAGCUUACAGUAUGAACGCACCACCGUAAGCAAAAUCAUCCCCCCAUUAAAACGACAGGUCAAGGUGUAGCCUAUGAAGGGGUAGUGAUGGGCUACAUUUUCUUCACAGAAAACACCAAUUGCACCAUGAAACCCGUGCCACAAGGUGGAUUUAGAAGUAAACCUUACCGGCAAGCUGUGCCAACUUGAACACGCCCUAGGACGC
rnacentral:rRNA from 2 species